rnacentral:misc_RNA from 1 species
AGCAUGCUCUGCAGGCAAGC